rnacentral:tRNA from 4 species
AGCUCUGGGGUGUCCCACAUGCUAAAUUGCAAAUUUAGAGUCACAGACUAGUUCUCUGUCAGAGCUU